CAUCCUGGUGGUGCGCGUACGUAUAAUGAUAACAGUGGUCAGGCUCUGUUCGAGCAUCGAAUCGUUGACGGGCUGCCAAUCGUGAAACGGCAAUUUAGCCGUGAAACGUGGGGAGGCGCGACCGUGGUCCCGCACGGCCGCAGAUCCCACCGAAAUUCUCUUCGACCGCUUCAACCCCUCGGGGGUUGCGCGAGAGAGAGAAGGAGAGGGGAGAGAGAGAGAGAGAAAAGAAAAAAAGGAAGGAGAAGGGAAAUACGUGUCGAAGGGAUACGUGACACGAGCGAGGCCAAAGAAUCUGUAUAUUUGACGUUUCAAUUAUGCCUCUUUCUUCUUUCUUUUUUUCUCCUCCCCUCUUUCACUUUCACGUACGCCCAAUUCGUUCUUUUCUCGUACGUUUUUUCGUCGGCUUUGAGAGUUCGGUGGCUGCAUUUUCUCUUUCCGGCUUUUUUUUUAAUAUCUUGUUGCCGCUGGUUUUUAUCGCCCUUCGUUUCGAUUUUUCGGCCGCUUUUCGGUCGCUGUGUUGCUUUGUCUUGCUUUGUAUUGGACGCGUUUUGAAAAAGAAACUGAAAUGAAAGGGAACGGGGUUAGAUUUGUAUUUAUGAAGGCAAAGCAUUGUAGGCAGUUUUUCUUAAAAGGGUUCGUUAAGAGGGUUUGUAGAAAGGGAGAGCAAGGGUUGACUGGAAUAAAGAAGCAUGCUCGUCGGAGAAAAAAAAUUCUCGACCAUGCCAGCAUCAGGUAAACAGAUACGUUGAUCGUGUUUAUCUUUUAUUCAGUAAAUAA